UACAGAGGGUGCGAGCGUUGUCCGGAAUCACUGGGCGUAAAGGGCGCGUAGGUGGCCCGACAAGUCACUGGUGAAAGCUCGAUGCUCAACAUCGAGUCGGCCAGUGAUACUGUGGGGCUGGAGCACUGUAGAGGCUCAUGGAAUUCCGGGUGUAGCGGUGGAAUGCGUAGAGAUCCGGAAGAACACCGGUGGCGAAAGCAGCUCUCUGGGACGGUACUGACGCUGAGGCGCGAAAGCUAGGGUAGCAAACAGG
rnacentral:rRNA from 1 species